rnacentral:lncRNA from 1 species
GAGUUUGUUAAAUAAAAUAAGUAGACUAUUUUUGUUUCUUUCUUCUUUUCAUUUCUGGUUUUUGUUUACUUCUUUUGUUGGUUAGAUUGCUUCUAACAUGGUACCAGAGCUAAUACUUUUUUGUUGUGCAAGGUGUUAAUUGUUGCUUGGAAGGGUUGCUAUGAGGAGUAAUAGUUGCAGGUUCAAGUGUUGGUCUUCAUGGCUCCAGAGGAAGUCUCAGGGAAGGGUGGCAGCCAACAUCAGUCUUCAAAUGCUGAUGAGUAGGUGCAUUCUCCUCAUUCAGAACCACGGUCAAGUUCUUAUAUAUGUAGCUGGUAAGAGAAUUCAACAGUUUCUAAAGCAUAACACUAUUAAACUUAGUGAAAACAAUUUUCUUUUAUGGAAACAUCAUAUAAUGUUGAUUCUUGAUAAAUAUAAUUUGCAAGGGUAUGUUUUGGGGACCAUUAGUGUUCCUUCUCAAUUUAUGGUUUAUAAAAAUGGCAAGUUAGUAGAUAAUCCUGAUUUUCUAGAACAUAGACAAUAAGAUAAGCUAUUGGCAUCACGGUUCUUGUCGGCUGUGUGUGAUGAGGUGCUUGUCUACCUAACUAAUGCCAACACUAAAUUUGAUUUGUGGGUUACUAUUGAAAAGCGGUUUGCCACUAAGUUUAACAUUAAGCUCUCAAGCUUAAGGCAUACAUUCUAUUCUCAUAAAAGGGGACAGUUGGCUAUUAAAGAAUACUUAUCCAAUAUUAAAGGCAUGUGUGAUGUUCUAACUGUAGUUGGCAGUGUGGUAUCUGAACAAGAGCAUAUCAGUAUCAUUCUUGUAGGACUCUCAGUCGAGUAUGAGUCAGUUCGAGAAGUGGCCUUAGCUACAAAUGUCUCUCUUGAUCUUCUUAUUGGGAUGCUAGUUGAUUGUGGAGCCAGACAACUAGAAUUUGGGUCUAACAUUCCAGUGCAAGCCAAUAUGGUCUACCAACAAAAGAAUGAUGUUGAAAGUCAAUCUAAGAAUUCUUCAUCUAAUGCUGGAUAUGUUGGAUCUGAAGCCUUGAGUGUAGUAUAUUUCGUUUGUAAACUUGUAAUUUUCAAAUAAAUUGAUUAAUAUAACAGUUCAUGGGUUACAUUAAUAUACUUUGUAUGAUUUUCCUCAUGUGGUUUUUGUAUACAAAGCAAAAUAUAAGCAAAUAUUGGCUCACUAGCUAUCUAAUGUUUG